rnacentral:rRNA from 1 species
UACGUAGGGCGCAAGCGUUAUCCGGAAUUAUUGGGCGUAAAGAGCUCGUAGGCGGUUUGUCGCGUCUGCUGUGAAAGACCGGGGCUCAACUCCGGUUCUGCAGUGGGUACGGGCAGACUAGAGUGCAGUAGGGGAGACUGGAAUUCCUGGUGUAGCGGUGAAAUGCGCAGGUAUCAGGAGGAACACCGGUGGCGAAGGCGGAUCUCUGGGCCGUAACUGACGCUGAGGAGCGAAAGCAUGGGGAGCGAACAGG